rnacentral:rRNA from 1 species
CCUACGGGAGGCAGCAGUAGGGAAUCUUCCGCAAUGGACGAAAGUCUGACGGAGCAACGCCGCGUGAGCGAUGAAGGCCUUCGGGUCGUAAAGCUCUGUUGUUAGGGAAGAACAAGUACCGUUCAAAUAGGGCGGUACCUUGACGGUACCUAACCAGAAAGCCACGGCUAACUACGUGCCAGCAGCCGCGGUAAUACGUAGGUGGCAAGCGUUAUCCGGAAUUAUUGGGCGUAAAGCGCGCGCAGGCGGUCCUUUAAGUCUGAUGUGAAAGCCCACGGCUCAACCGUGGAGGGUCAUUGGAAACUGGGGGACUUGAGUGCAGAAGAGGAGAGCGGAAUUCCACGUGUAGCGGUGAAAUGCGUAGAGAUGUGGAGGAACACCAGUGGCGAAGGCGGCUCUCUGGUCUGUAACUGACGCUGAGGCGCGAAAGCGUGGGGAGCGAACAGGAUUAGAUACCCUGGUAGUCCACGCCGUAAACGAUGAGUGCUAAGUGUUANAGGGUUUCCGCCCUUUUAGUGCUGCAGCAAACGCAUUUAAGCACUCCGCCUGGGGAGUACGGUCNCCAAGACUGAAACUCAAAUGAAUUGACGGGG